ensembl:lncRNA
CUUAAAAGUCCCAACUCAGAUGAUUCUGUGACAUCCCUAGGGAAGCCCAGAAGUUGGGAUACUUUCUUCGUUUUCCUCCUGCCAAUGUGCUAUUGGACAGGCUUUCCACCUCCUGUUCUAGAGCUGCACUCGUUUCUUCAAUUUUUCCUACUCCAUCUUUUGUCCAAAUUGCUAAAAGCAGUAGAAGAUAGCAUAUUCCUCUGCUGAGCUGAGCAAUCAUUGUAAUUCCAGGGUUCAACAUUUUAAUUCUCAACUACCUGUUUUUGUUUAGUUAAUGAAAAAAGAGGUGGGGACCUGUUGUGAAGCACUGAAGGAUUUGAGACCCAGAGUACCUUAAACAAAUCUAAGAAAACUUCGUUAAAAAAAGAAAAAGAGAGACCAAAAACCAAGAAGGAAAAAUAGUACUCUUGACUCCAGCCUUGGCAUUGUUGAGGCGACAGAGCUGGUAACAUGCUGGAAACAGGGAUUCCUCAUAGACCACCCAGAAGAACACAUCUCAGGUCUGCUUCGUGGACUCUACGUGCAGACUCCAUUUGGAGGAGCAUCUUGCCUGUUUGCAAGUAGAUUCACCAUUUGGAGGAACACCGCUGUCAUGGAAGGUCAUGGUUGGAGAAGGGGAAGGGGGUCUCACAGGUACCACUUCUACGAAACGAUUUUGUAAAGAAC